UAGGGAAUCUUCGGCAAUGGACGAAAGUCUGACCGAGCAACGCCGCGUGAGUGAAGAAGGUUUUCGGAUCGUAAAACUCUGUUGUUAGAGAAGAACAAGGACGUUAGUAACUGAACGUCCCCUGACGGUAUCUAACCAGAAAGCCACGGCUAACUACGUGCCAGCAGCCGCGCUAAUACGUAGGUGGCAAGCGUUGUCCGUAUUUAUUGGGCGUAGAGCGAGCGCAGGCGGUUUCUUAAGUCUGAUGUGAAAGCCCCCGGCUCAACCGGGGAGGGUCAUUGGAAACUGGGAGACUUGAGUGCAGAAGAGGAGAGUGGAAUUCCAUGUGUAGCGGUGAAAUGCGUAGAUAUAUGGAGGAACACCAGUGGCGAAGGCGGCUCUCUGGUCUGUAACAGACGCUGAGGCUCGAAAGCGUGGGGAGCAAACAGG
rnacentral:rRNA from 1 species